rnacentral:rRNA from 1 species
GAUGAACGCUGGCGGCGUGCCUAAUACAUGCAAGUCGAGCGAAUGGAUUAAGAGCUUGCUCUUAUGAAGUUAGCGGCGGACGGGUGAGUAACACGUGGGUAACCUGCCCAUAAGACUGGGAUAACUCCGGGAAACCGGGGCUAAUACCGGAUGACAUUUUGAACCGCAUGGUUCGAAAUUGAAAGGCGGCUUCGGCUGUCACUUAUGGAUGGACCCGCGUCGCAUUAGCUAGUUGGUGAGGUAACGGCUCACCAAGGCAACGAUGCGUAGCCGACCUGAGGGGGGGAUCGGCCACACUGGGACUGAGACACGGCCCAGACUCCUACGGGAGGCAGCAGUGGGGAAUAUUGCACAAUGGGCGCAAGCCUGAUGCAGCAACGCCGCGUGAGGGAUGACGGCCUUCGGGUUGUAAACCUCUUUUAGUAGGGAAGAACAAGUGCUAGUUGAAUAAGCUGGCACCUUGACGGUACCUAACCAGAAAGCCACGGCUAACUACGUGCCAGCCGCCGCAGUAA